GACGAACCGUGCGAACGUUGUUCGGAAUCACUGGGCUUAAAGGGCGCGUAGGCGGCGCGUCGAGUCGGGGGUGAAAGCGUUCGGCUUAACCGGACAAGGGCCCCCGAUACCGACACGCUCGAGCGAGGCAGGGGCAGACGGAACUUCCGGUGGAGCGGUGAAAUGCGUUGAUAUCGGAAGGAACGCCGGUGGCGAAAGCGGUCUGCUGGGCCUCUUCUGACGCUGAGGCGCGAAAGCCAGGGGAGCGAACGGG
rnacentral:rRNA from 1 species